CAACACAAGAUAAAGUUCAUUCCAGAAAUGGUUGGUCCAAUAUUAGAAAUGACACUGAUACCUGAGAUGGAGCUGCGCAAAGCUACCCUCCCCAUCUUCUUUGAUAUGAUGCAGUUCGAAUUCCACUCCACCCGAAGCUUCCAGGUGGUAAGGACAUAGGUGUGCGUUUGCAAAUGAGAUCAUCACCAAGCUGGAUCAUGAAGUGGAAGGAGGCAGAGGAGAUGAGCAGUACAAGGUGUUAUUUGAGAAAAUCCUCUUGGAACACUGCAGGAAGCACAAAUACCUGGCCAAAACGGGAGAAACUUUUGUAAAACUUCUUGUGCGCCUGAUGGAAAGACUUCUGGAUUAUAGAACCAUCAUGCAUGAUGAGAACAAAGAAAACAGGAUGAGCUGUACUGUCAAUGUGCUGAAUUUCUACAAAGAAAUUGAAAGAGAAGAAAUGUGUAUAAGGUAUUUGUACAAGUUGUGUGACCUGCACAAAGAGUGUGAUAACUACACUGAAGCCAUUUACACUCUGCUUCUCCAUGCAAAGCUUCUGAAGUGGUCGGAGGAUGUGUGCAUGGCCCACCUCACCCAGCGGGAUGAGUACCAGGCAACAACUUAAGGGCAGCUGAAAGAACACCUCUACCAAGAAAUCAUCCACUACUUCGACAAAGGCAAGGAUCCUUCACAAGAGUUUCCACUGACAUGCCUACCGUGUGCCAGGCUCCAUCUGCACCCAGGAAAACAACACAGGGGUGGGGGAGACAGAAGCCUGCCUUUGGGAAUGCAGGUCUCCCACUAGGC